UAUUUCCAGAUCCUGAUGGAAAGGAAUAUGUCCUUUGCCAACAAUUGUGGCAGUGGUUGCAGUGAUUCUCGUCGCACUCUUGUUGCUCCUAGUUUUGGUCUGCAUAAAAUGUAAAUUAUUGUCCAAAUUGUGGCAACCAAUCCCCGAUGCUGAAGAGAAGUUCAGAGGACUUUUUGAAGAGUGCAAUGGAGAUUUUCAGAAAUGGAUUAACAAGAGUAUCCAGCUGACGAAUAAAGCGGAAGAAUGCUCGUUGACCACUGCAAAAGAAUUCCAAGAGUCUUAAAAGAGACGUUGACACAUUCCCUUCUGGUUUCAUCAUGGCAAUCCGUUGGUCUUCAUGGAGGAGGAAGAGGGAGUUCUAUUUAAAUGGAGAUUGCAAAAGAAAAUGGUGUCUCGAUUGUAGUUCAUGAAACCUUUCUUUCUGCCAGUGGGCGUGUGUAGUAAUGGCCCCACACUGGACUUUCCAAUGAGCACAGGACUUUGGAUGAAGUUCGCUAAAGUAUUAACAAGUAGAGAGGAGAGAGACACACGGUUGGAUUCUUCUUUCCAUGAAACUGUUUGCAAGGAUUUCAAUUCAAGAGUCAAGAUUGUUCUAUUGUCAUUUGUCCCAGAUAGGACAAUGAAAUUCUUACUUGCAGCAGCACGACAGAAUAUAUAGACAUUGUACACUGUAAACAAUUUAAAUAAGUGAGAAAAAAAAGUUCAGUGUGUGUACUCACACACGUACACAUACAAAAUAACACACACACACACAAUGGACAGACGCCCAGAACAUUUUUUCCCAGGGUUGAACGUAGAAGGUCAAAGACUGGAGGACAUAGCGUUAAGGUGAGUGAGAGGGGCAAAGAUUGAAAGGCAUGUUUUUUUACAUAGGGAGUGGUGAGUGCCUGGAAUGUGCUGCCAGAGGAGGUAGUUGACUAUGUUGGAAACUUUCAAAUCAGGUGUCAGGGCUCACGACAGCACAGAGUCUGCCUUGUUGAAGGUACAUAAUGACCUACU